rnacentral:lncRNA from 1 species
CUUAGUAGUUUGGAGUGGACCAGGUCUGCCGCAAGGGCCACAUGGCGGUCACCUGCGGCCAACAGUGCUGACGUCCCCAGCCCUGUUUCUCCAUGCCUCUCCAUUCCCUUUGGGGAGGCAGGGUUUAUGAAGAGACCUGAGAUUCUUAGCCACUUGUUCGGGGCAGGAAACCCUUCGCCUUGCAAGGGACAGUAAUGAUGACGUUCUGGCUGUCACUCUGCCUCCUCCAGAGGGAACAGCACAGCCCCCACCAAGACAGGGGUUCUCUCUAAAGCGGACUGCCUCUCUCUCUCUCUCCUCCCUCCUCCACCUGCUGGGGCAGGACUCCUGGGAUGGAGAGCAGUGAUUUAGGAGGCUGGGGGAGGGGAGUGAAUGAAACAGCCCAAGAUUGAUCUUGGAGAGCCUGCUGCCCUCUCUUCUCCCCGAAAUGCCCACCACCAGGGCUAUUUUAGUUAGAGACAGGUGUGCAGUUUAUACACAAUAAAUCUCCCCAUGUUCCUCAAAAAAAAAAAAAUGCCAUUUUUUUUAGAACUCCUGGAGAAUUCAUUUCACGUCUCUUUGUUCCACAGUAACCAUGCUCCUAAACUACUCAGAAUCCUUGGCAGGGCCAUGCCAGUCCCCCUUGAGAGCAGCUGAGAGCACUUCCUGGAAGACAGAUUGGACAGGCACACCGGAGAGAGCACUGGGCUUCCUGGGACUGCAUCUGGGAAGGGGACCUUGUGCAGCUGCCCUCAUCUGUACCCCAGGUGAGCUGGCUGCAGAAGCGGUUGCCGGCCUUUCCCGCAGGCAGGAGGGGCAGAUCUGCAUCUGGGGGAGGUGAUCUGAAGGCCCUGGCCUGUGGGCGGGUGGGGUGGGGGAGGAAAACGUGUGCUGUCCCUUUAAGCCCUGGGCCACCGUCGCCUCCCGACCCCAUCCCCCCUCAAUUUAAUUUCAUUAAAACAGAGCAUGAAUAUUUCUAUUAAACCUAAAAUGAAAUAUGAAGCCAUUUAGACUCUGCCUGCACCAAUCACCCAGAUUUAUGACUUUUAUUCAUCACAUCAAGAGCUUGGAAAAAUGAAUUUUCUUCACCCAGGAAGGAAAUAAAACCUCAGGCUUGGUCAUUUCCAGAAAGCUGUUAAUUUGACCGUGUGGUAAUUACUUUCACAAUUAACUAAAAUACAAAUCAACUUGACAAAUUGGGCUAGUUUAUAUAUUAAUUAGCCCGCUUAAAUUUAUUCAUUAUGAAAAGACAAUUUAAGGGGACCUGUGGUGUCUGUUUUAUUGCAAUAAAUUAUUGUUAGGAAAUGGGUCUAAUAAAAUAUCUUAAUAUUUAAGGAUACUGUAUACGCGAGGGGGGAUGCUUUAUUGACAAUUUCAUUUUCCAAUUAGUAAUUUUGUUGUAAUAUAUCCGAGCCCAGGCCUCGCAAGCGGGCAGGCCGGGUUCCCCCAGCCGUGGGCAACAGCCAGUGUCUGGGCCUGGCCAUGGGCAGAGGACGGAGUCAGUUCAGCGGGAAGAGCCGGUGUCGGAUCGGGUGGCGGCUGGAGCGUCCAAGGACGCACGGAACCUGGGCCGAGAUGCUGCGCUCGCCAGGGCCCCCUCCUCCGCCCGGGGCCCCGGGGCUGAUUUAAUAGAAUGUCGAUAGAAUCAUUCGAUGCCUUUUAGCUUGUGAUCUUUAUAAAUGUCCCUCUAUUAAAUUAGAAAAUGAUUCUCUUCUCGUUUAAUUGUAUUCUUUCGUUUCUUAUUUCCAAUUAAUUAGUCCUAUCGACGUUGCAAUAUUUUAAGUGACUCGAGUCCGUUUCCAGUUAGAAUAUAUGGGUCAGCACAG